rnacentral:tRNA from 1 species
UAGCUCAGUGGUAGAGCAUUGGCUGUAAAAGCUAAAGAUAAUGGGUUCGAUCCCCAA